CACACAGAGCAGCGUAGGCUCUUGUGGGAAGGCCUCAGAUCAGGCCUACAAGAAAAGGGAGUUUCCUGGGAGAAGCUGCUCGCACCCCUGGGAGGCAGUGGGAAACCUGUCAGGCCCAAGAGGAGCAGAAGCAGGGUUGGUUGGAUGUUUUGUCUGGUGGUUUAAUUGGACUUUUGUUACCUGAGAAGGGGUCUGGACUUUAAGUGUGACCUGGCUGAAGGGCUUUGUAACCCAGAAGAGAACCAUGGAAGAACCAGACUGGUUGACAAAAGGGGCACUAAAGUGGAAGACCCUUGCAAUGCUGUGUCCUAAUGCCAGGAGUGCUAUGGCGGACAACAAAAUGUGCUCCUAGCUGAAACUCUGGAUGCCAGGGAAUGAUCUUCUCUCAAAGCUUCCAGUUAUCUCAAAUUGUAAUAAAGUGACUGAGUGUCUAUUCCUCAUAUGCUACAGGAGUUGGUCACUACCCCUCAGCAGCUGGACUCUUCCACUGAUGCUCCGACGGCCCCCACCAUGAGUGAAACAGCUGUAUAGGUGACCGGGACUUCCCUAUGAAUUAUGGAGUCUGACUUACCCUGAUAUUCUGAAUGGUGUGAGCAGUGUGGAGCAGCUUUUUCCAGAAUCUCCUCUAUACCUAUUUGGCCCUGUGUCAGUAGUACUCAGCACCUCCUUCCACCAGUGCCCACAAUGAAGUUAUCAGUCAUUGUGGACCAUACCACUUCUGUACUUCGAUUUUGAUUUUCAGGCACCAAGUCCUAUCAUCACAAUCAUAAUUCUACAACCGUUUAAUACACAUGACAUGCCAGAGUAUACAGUAAAUCACUGAGUAGGUUUGUGUAUCUUUCCCUAUUCACUGAAAUCAGGAAACAAACAUUCUUCCUCCCUCCACCACAAAUAUGGAUCAGAUCUGAAUUGUCCAGAGCAGGAGAUUUUGUGCUAGACCAUGAGGGAGCAGAGAGCAUCAUGACUUUGAAAUAAAUCUGUAUUUAUUCAUACGUGAAGUAUAGUGCAUACAACCAAAAUGUAAGUUCCUUUAUACCGAUGAGUUUCCUUUUCUUCUGCUAAUUUCAGCUGCAACCUACGAGAGACUCUUCCUUAGACUAAAAAAGUAAAUACGUAAAAGUACAGUUGUUAUGCUUUAAUGCCGCAAGUAGAACUAUUGUUAGAUUAAGUGUGGAAUUGGGUGAAGGUGGCCAUAAACUGAUGCUCGCUAGAAUACACUUUGUGGCUCACUAAGAACUAAUCUGAGUCCACUGGGUUCAUUUCAGUUAAGUUCUUAUUUUAAACUAAUGGUGCUCAACACUGGCGCCUAAGCAGUACUCCUGAUUUUAUCCAGUUGGAACAC